ACACGUAAACAACUUGCCUUCAGGAUGGGGACAACAGACGGAAACGACUGCUAAUACCGAAUAAGUUCCAAGAGCCGCAUGGCCCAUGGAAGAAAAGGUGGCCUCUACCUGUAAGCUAUCGCCUGAAGAGGGGUUUGCGUCUGAUUAGCUGGUUGGAGGGGUAACGGCCCACCAAGGCGACGAUCAGUAGCCGGUCUGAGAGGAUGAACGGCCACACUGGAACUGAGACACGGUCCAGACUCCUACGGGAGGCAGCAUG
rnacentral:rRNA from 1 species